CGGUUCGUAGUUUAAUUGGUAAAACAUAGUUCUCAUGAAGCUACCAAUGUAGGUUCAAGUCCUGCCGAACCGA
rfam:Ectocarpus siliculosus strain Ec 32, whole genome shotgun sequence assembly, unassigned sequences LGTn